UUUUAAAUAAAAGUGCAUAGUCAUACCAUGUUUUUGGAUGCUUGGAUGUGCCAUUAAUACCCCUAGGAUCUGUUUGCCAUUAAAGAGGGCAUGGAGUAACAUGGCCAUGAACCCCUAGAUAUGUGUUUUAGUAGAAACCAUGUGUUGGUAUGUGGUUAGUAGUUCAUGCAAGUUGUUGACAACGAUGACUUUUAGGACCACUGCUCAUUCUGAAUCAAAGAACAUGGGAGGAUCCAAAUAUCUUAAGGUUUAAAGUUUGCCCUUUUCACACUUCAAUCACAACAUUAUGGUACUACGGGCUGUUCCUUCUGUACCUUAAUCUUUUGAUAUAUCACCAACCAUGGCUAUUAUGACUACGUUAAUCCUUGUAGUUUUCUGCAUUUUACAAUUGAAUAGAACUGUGAUCAUCAGGCAGAUGCAUUCCUCAGCUAAAAUUUGUCCUUAUGAAAUACGUUCAUUAUCACCAUAUAUGGAGCUUAUAUAUAUGAAACCGGUUCCAGGUUUCAUCUGCAAUAUCGAUAAACUUGUAGAUCCUUUCAACAAAAAAUGCUGAGAGGAGUGGUGUCGGCUCAACCGAUCUCCACUUUAGCACCAACAAGGAAGAAAGGGGGGAAGAAGGAAGGAAGGAAGAAGAUAUGGUGUGGCUGCCAAGUAGGGGAGAAGAAAUGGGGAAGAAGGGAGGAAGAAGAAAAAGACUCAACAUGCCAUUGCCGAGUUACGGUUCCAAUCUCGACAUGCAAAGUUCACUGGAUGGUGCUCAAUCGAGUCAGCAAUGCUGAGUGGCUGACGAGACCACUCCGCAUAGGUUUAUAGUUAAUUAAUUUCUUAUAUUAUUUCUAGGUCAUAUUAUCAAAAUCUUAAAUUUUGGUUAACAUCCUUCUUUUUAUACAAACUUUAUAAAUAUUGAAGUUUGUGCUCAUUUAUAGCAUGGUAAUGUUUCAAUUAUGAUACUAUAUUAUUUUGUUUUAAAUCAAACAUGAUAUUUAAAAAAAAACAUUAAUAUUGACCAAUUCA